GCACCGCUAGCUCAAUUGGAUAGAGCAUCGGUCUACGGAACCGAAGGUUUCAGGUUCGAAUCCUGAGCGGUGUA
rnacentral:tRNA from 1 species